UUGAAAAGGAGUCUCCACCGUGAAGAGCUGUAUGAAGUUCUAGUUAUCAUUGUUGUUCCCACCAAAUUUUCUAAUCCAACAUCAGUUGAAUAUUUUCAGUGUUUUAUUUUUGUUAAAAAAUGUCUGAAAAAAGUGAACCGAGCUACGCACAAACCAAUGGGCGACAAGAAAAAGAAGAUACUUCCGCAAGUGUUGGAUCAUCGACAGGCAAUAACGACCAUUGGGCUUUGUUACAUGAUUCUCAAUACGGUUUAUUUCUUGCUUCGCCUCCCGUAAAAUCCAUGAACGUUCUCCAGUCCGAUAUAUGUAGUGGGAUCAUUUUUGGUCAUUUUUCUAGAAAAAUAAAAGAAUUCGGAAUCGGCAAAAUGCUGGGGCCAAUCCGAAUGUUUGCCGAACAGUUGAUUACAUUGGAUCGCGAAACAGUAUUGAUCAAAGAAAUCCAAACGGAAUUGAAAUCAAUGCGUUUCAUCGAUUUGAUUGCCCAGUGGGAGAGAGCAACGGCCGAGGUCACCGUCGCCUUUGCUUAACUCAAGUGCAAUGGCGUCAUCACAAAACUCGUCGGAAGGUGUACAGUCCAUGACAGAAGACUGAUUCCACCCGGAAAAAACUCCAAUGUCCACGAUGCUAUAACGAAUUCCAUCAAACAAAACCAAAUUGACUGAGCCAAAUGAUUCCCUUUGAAUUAUUCCAGUGAUAUUCAUAGUGCAUUCUUCCAAUAAUAAAUUUUAAUACGUAUUCUGUCAUUUUUCUAUGUACUUUUUGAUUAAAGCCAUCUCUGAAAGUUUAAAAUCAAUUGAAAGUUUCCAGGAAAAUAUAAGAAUCUGGAAUUGGCGCAAUCAAAUUGUUCGUCAAGGAGAGGAUAUCGUAGUUUUUGCUGCAAUAAGGCUUUUUAUGUUAGUCAGAAUAAAGUAGGAAGUUAUUGCAUGUUAAAGUCUCGUUGCAGUGAAACGAAACCUAAAAUUUUUUUCAAAUUGGCGAAAUAUAAGUAGAAUUUGUGCUAUUUUAGUAAAUAUAUUUUCUGAUUUAUUUGAAACUUGGCUAACAUAUUGACAUGACAUUCUUUUACGCCAUGUGUACAAUUUUAUUCAACAUCCAUCUAUUCGUCAUACCAAAUCCCUACAAGAAUUUUGCGACAAGUUUACGCAAACGUAUCGCCAACCUUCCGCAAUAGUUGUCACAAAAUGCAUGAACUGCGAUCAACUUCAUUCGAAUUCAGCAUGUUGUAUUUAAAAGGCUGCAAUGGCUGAUUAUUCUACUUAAUAAUUAUUUUGAAUACGUUUUUUUUUUCUUAUUAGCAACGAUGAGCAACAUGAAAAGUUUAAAUAAAACCAUUUGAAAUUAUGUUUUCAAUGUAAUGAAGUUGGAUACAGUUCGAAUUUACAGGUUUACGCAAUGCGAUAUGUCGCAGAUAUGUCGGCGUUAUGAUUUUGCGUAAACCCGUACAUUGAAAAACCUAUCGCAAUGCGGAAUGUCGCGGGAAGGUUUUGCUUUACGGCGACAUGUCGACGUAAACCUCAAUGUAUCGCAAAAUUCUUGUAGGGAAUAUGUGUCUCACUUUGCCCCGGCCUCCUCUCUACAUUAUACAGUACACACAUACAGAUACACGCAAGGAUAUACAAUGAACUGUAUAAAACAUGGCAUCCUUAAUUUUGUAUGUGUCAUAUAAACAAAAUUCGCCAUGGAGAGUGUUUCGUUCUCGUGUUCUGACCAUUUGAAAAUAUUCAUCAUUUUUAUUGAUGCCUUUAUUUUUGGAAAACUGGAAUUUUACAAGCUUGCAUUCCUUCAAAUCUAUAAAGAUAUCACUAAUGCAAGGAAUGUUCGUGUGGGUUUAUGCCAUUCUAGUAACUUUAAUAUCAACAACAAAUUUUGUAACAAAUUUACAAAACUCGCAGCUGAACAGGUAUGUGUUGUGUAGUUAGUUCGGACAUGAAUAAAUUUCAUUAAUGAAUACGUUUUGUUUUUAAUCCAUACAAAAGAGACGUU